GUGAACGCUGGCGGUAGGCCUAACACCUGCAAGUCGCACGGCAGCACAGUAAGAGCUUGCUCUUACGGGUGGCGAGUGGCGGACGGGUGAGGAAUACAUCGGAAUCUACUUUUUCGUGGGGGAUAACGUAGGGAAACUUACGCUAAUACCGCAUACGACCUACGGGUGAAAGCCGGGGAUCUUCGGACCUUGCGCGAUUGAAUGAGCCGAUGUCGGAUUAGCUAGUUGGCGGGGUAAAGGCCCACCAAGGCGACGAUCCGUAGCUGGUCUGAGAGGAUGAUCAGCCACACUGGAACUGAGACACGGUCCAGACUCCUACGGGAGGCAGCAGUGGGGAAUAUUGGACAAUGGGCGCAAGCCUGAUCCAGCCAUACCGCGUGGGUGAAGAAGGCCUUCGGGUUGUAAAGCCCUUUUGUUGGGAAAGAAAAGCAGCAGGUUAAUACCCCGCUGUUCUGACGGUACCCAAAGAAUAAGCACCGGCUAACUUCGUG
rnacentral:rRNA from 1 species